AUUGAGCGCUGGCGGCAUGCGUUACACAUGCAAGUCGAACGGUAACAGGUCUUCGGAUGCUGACGAGUGGCGAACGGGUGAGUAAUACAUCGGAACGUGCCCGAUCGUGGGGGAUAACGCAGCGAAAGCUGUGCUAAUACCGCAUACGAUCUACGGAUGAAAGCGGGGGAUCGCAAGACCUCGCGCGGACGGAGCGGCCGAUGGCAGAUUAGGUAGUUGGUGGGGUAAAGGCUCACCAAGCCUUCGAUCUGUAGCUGGUCUGAGAGGACGACCAGCCACACUGGGACUGAGACACGGCCCAGACUCCUACGGGAGGCAGCAGUGGGGAAUUUUGGACAAUGGGCGCAAGCCUGAUCCAGCCAUGCCGCGUGCAGGAUGAAGGCCUUCGGGUUGUAAACUGCUUUUGUACGGAACGAAAAGGCCUGCCUUAAUACGGCGGGCCCAUGACGGUACCGUAAGAAUAAGCACCGGCUAACUACGUG
rnacentral:rRNA from 1 species